rnacentral:lncRNA from 1 species
GCACCGAUAUUCACACAAAGUUAAGCACAAAGCUUUGCACAAAACGGUUCGUUUUGUGCAAAGUAUAAAAGCUAUUUACACUUGCAAGCAACAACACCAAAUCACUGAACAAAUCCCCUAGGCAUGCAACAACGUUUCUCCCAUCUCUCUCUCUCUCUCUCUCAUUCUCCCUCUUUUAUCCCGCACCACACAGCAGUGCAGCAACCAUACUAAUGCUCAUGAUGUUACGAAUGAUACAAAGCUUCCCAUUCAGAGGAAUAAUUGCUGCAGUCCUUGGCAAUCAUAAGAAAUUUUGAAGAACCCAAUCAAACCAAACUAAGAAGGUCCCUCAUGUAAGAACAAAAUUCAAGAACGAUAACCAUUAAUCGCCAAAUUAAUAUAUGGUUUGUAAAAUAAUUUGAAGACCACAAUAUCCUUACCAAGAAUAAUAAUCAUUCAAAAUCUAUGAGGCCUCAAAAACAUAUUAAUUAAUCUUUAACAAUUAAUCAGUCUACAUCUUUAAUUACAAAUUAAUCUUUAGUCAAUUAAGCCAAUUGUGUUGGGGGAUAGAGAGCGAUGCAGUUGAGAUCGAGAGAAUGAGAGACAACGGAGCCGAGAGAGUGAGGAAGAUCGAAACCGAAAGAGUGAGGUAGACCGGAGCUGAGAGAGUGAGGGAGAUCGGAGCCCAGGGAGCCAACUAGAUGCUUUAAGCGAGAGACGAGAGAGUUGUCACUGCUGCUGCGUCAUAAGGGAGAACGGAGCUGAUAUCGAGCUUGUGUGUACACGGGAGAGAGAGAAGAAUGUUGUUGUGUGGUGGGGGAGAAAAGAGGGAGACGGGAGAGAGAGAUGGGAGGAACGUUGCUGCAGGAUUUGUUACGUGUGUGUGUGGCGGUGUUGCUUGCACGUGUGAAUGGCUUUUAUACUUCGCACAAAAAGAAUCAUUUUGUGCAAAGCUUUGUGCUGAGCUUUGUGAGAACAUCAUUUUCCUUUCACAAUUGCCUUUUGCUCUUCCUGUAAGUUUCAGAGUCUUGUUUUGCC